rnacentral:tRNA from 1 species
GGCUUAAGGAAAUGUUUGAGUGCAAAUCAAACGGCGGGCUUAGAUGGCCCUAAGCCU